rnacentral:rRNA from 1 species
AGGCAGCAGUGGGGAAUAUUGCACAAUGGGCGCAAGCCUGAUGCAGCCAUGCCGCGUGUAUGAAGAAGGCCUUCGGGUUGUAAAGUACUUUCAGCAGUGAGGAAGGUGGGUAUGUUAAUAGCAUACUCAUUUGACGUUAGCUGCAGAAGAAGCACCGGCUAACUCCGUGCCAGCAGCCGCGGUAAUACGGAGGGUGCGAGCGUUAAUCGGAAUUACUGGGCGUAAAGCGCAUGCAGGUGGUUUGUUAAGUCAGAUGUGAAAGCCCGGGGCUCAACCUCGGAAUUGCAUUUGAAACUGGCAAACUAGAGUACUGUAGAGGGGGUAGAAUUUCAGGUGUAGCGGUGAAAUGCGUAGAGAUCUGAAGGAAUACCGGUGGCGAAGGCGGCCCCCUGGACAGAUACUGACACUCAGAUGCGAAAGCGUGGGGAGCAAACAGGAUUAGAUACCCGGGUAG